GAUGAAGAACGUAGCGAAAUGCGAUACGUAAUGUGAAUUGCAGAAUUCAGUGAAUCAUCGAAUCUUUGAACGCAUAUUGCGCUCUCUGGUAUUCCGGAGAGCAUGCUUGUUUGAGUAUCAGUAAACACCUCAACUCCCUUUUCUUUUUUGAAAUUGGAGCUGGACUUGAGUGAUCCCAACGCUUUCUUCCAAGAAAGUGGCGGGUUGCUUGAAAUGCAGGUGCAGCUGAACUUUUCUCUGAGCUAUAAGCAUAUCUAUUUAGUCUGCCUAAAAAACAGAUUAUUACCUUUGCUGCAGCUAACAUAAAGGAGACUAGUUCUUGUGCUGACUGAUGCAGGAUUCACAGAGACAGCUUCGGCUGACUUUGUAAACUCGAUCUCAAAUCAAGUAAGACUACCCGCUGACCUUAAGCAUAUCAAUAAGCGGAGGA
rnacentral:misc_RNA from 1 species